rnacentral:rRNA from 1 species
CCUACGGGUGGCAGCAGUGGGGAAUAUUGGACAAUGGGGGCAACCCUGAUCCAGCCAUGCCGCGUGUGUGAAGAAGGCCCUCGGGUUGUAAAGCACUUUCAGUGAGGAAGAACGCCUGGUGGUUAAUACCCAUCAGGAAAGACAUCACUCACAGAAGAAGCACCGGCUAACUCCGUGCCAGCAGCCGCGGUAAUACGGAGGGUGCGAGCGUUAAUCGGAAUUACUGGGCGUAAAGCGCGCGUAGGUGGCUUGAUAAGCCGGUUGUGAAAGCCCCGGGCUCAACCUGGGAACGGCAUCCGGAACUGUCAAGCUAGAGUGCAGGAGAGGAUGGUAGAAUUCCCGGUGUAGCGGUGAAAUGCGUAGAGAUCGGGAGGAAUACCAGUGGCGAAGGCGGCCUUCUGGACUGACACUGACACUGAGGUGCGAAAGCGUGGGUAGCAAACAGGAUUAGAUACCCUAGUAGUC